rnacentral:rRNA from 1 species
GAUGAACGCUGGCGGCGUGCCUAAUACAUGCAAGUCGAGCGAACGGACGAGAAGCUUGCUUUUCUGAUGUUAGCGGCGGACGGGUGAGUAACACGUGGAUAACCUACCUAUAAGACUGGGAUAACUUCGGGAAACCGGAGCUAAUACCGGAUAAUAUUUUGAACCGCAUGGUUCAAAAGUGAAAGACGGUCUUGCUGUCACUUAUAGAUGGAUCCGCUCUGCAUUAGCUAGUUGGUAAGGUAACGGCUUACCAAGGCAACGAUGCGUAGCCGACCUGAGAGGGUGAUCGGCCACACUGGAACUGAGACACGGUCCAGACUCCUACGGGAGGCAGCAGUAGGGAAUCUUCCGCAAUGGGCGAAAGCCUGACGGAGCAACGCCGCGUGAGUGAUGAAGGUCUUCGGAUAGUAAAACUCUGUUAUUAGGGAAGAACAUAUGUGUAAGUAACUGUGCAAAUCUUGACGGUACAUAAUCAGAAAGACACGGCUAACUACGUG